AAGUAUGGAGUCAAGAAAAAGCUGCUAACUUUUAUCUUUAAUGGUUAAAUUCCAUUUAUACUUC
rnacentral:tRNA from 1 species